rnacentral:rRNA from 1 species
GACGAACGCUGGCGGCGUGCCUAAUACAUGCAAGUCGAACGCAGUGGGGACGGGUGAUUUACACGUGGGUAACCUCCCAUCAGAGGGGAUAACCCUUGGUAACAGGUUCUAAACCGCUACUGAUGGAUGGACCCGCUGUGCAUUAGCUAGUUGGUGAGGUAACGGCUCACCAAGGCUACGAUGCAUAGCCGACCUGAGAGGGGGAUCGGCCACACUGGGACGGAGACACGGCCCAGACUCCUACGGGAGGCAGCAGGAGGGAAUCUGCGGCAAUGGACGAAAGUCUGACCGAGCAACGCCGCGUGAGUGAAGAAGGUUUUCGGAUCGUAAAACUCUGUUGUUAGAGAAGCGGUAUCUAACCAGAAAGCCACGGCUAACUACGUGCCAGCAGCCGCGGUAAUUC